GGGGGCGUAGCUCAGUUGGGAGAGCGCUACACUGGCAGUGUAGAGGUCAUGGGUUCAAGUCCCACCGUCUCCA
rnacentral:tRNA from 1 species